UAAAUAGAAUAUAUAAUACAUAUAUAACAAUAUGUGUUAAUAGACUGUUUCCGUUAUUGGUAAGUCUUCUAGUAAGCAGGGGGCUGCUAAGUUUUUUGGGAGUCAACAGUUACAUGCACAUUUUCCACGGUGCAGGGGUUUGGUGCUCUUAACCCCCACACUGUUCAAGGCUCAACUGUACAACUAAAUCUACUCACAACACAAUGUGCUAUACCAGAAAGUGGGGUCAAGAGAAGAGUCCACUGAAAAUAUUCUGCUGGACCAGUUAAUGAUUGCUUUACACACACACACACACAUACACACACAGUCACAAGGUAGCACUGAAGAUCAGCGUUAUCACCCUCUUCAAGUAUAAUCUGGACACUGGUAGAUAGACUCGCAUGGCACCAGUUAGACUGCUCAGUUUUGGCAGUAAAAUCAUAGUCAUUUUGUUGUUGCUGUUUUUUGAUGGCUAGCAUCUGAUAAGUGGUAGAAAUCUGGUAACCAGAAACAGUGAUGCUCUGGAUACUAACAGAGAUGAUGGAAACAACAGGAUGAACUGUGAAGGACGGUUGACAGCAUUAAUGAAGUCAUUGCGUGGCUAAACCUUGUUCUGAAGACAGCUUCAGUCUCAAGGAAGAAAAUAACCUGGACUCCUAUUCUGAAAGACUUGACCCGUAAUAUAAAUCAGGGCACAAACAACAGCACUGUCCAGUUGCAAUGACUAUCAUGAUGAGCCCCUGACCUUCAGCACUGAGUGCAAUUGAUCUAGCUAUUACUGUUUACUUAAUGGAAAAACCUCUCUCCUGCUUUCAGAUUUGUCCCAAGGCUUAGCCACAAGAAUACCUCUUGUGCACUAAGAAGCAUGUACAAUUCCAGGUUUUAGAGAUUUAGCAGUGAAUAAGACAACCGGAGGAUAAAUGACAGAAGGGACAUCUGAGGCCUGGAGCGUGUACAGGGAAAGAGCUCUGACCAUGUCCAAAGUCAGGGUGUGCACACCCUACACAUCACUGAGUAUUUCACCUCUCGUUUGCUAUAUGCAGAAGCACAGGUGAGUAUUGCUGUUAUAACCAUUUUCCCAAUGCGGUAACAGUACCUCAGGGUAGUAAAAGUGACUGGCCCAUGGUGCCGUAAUUGAUUCAAGUCUUGGUUCUCUGACUCCAAAGGCCCUUUCACUUUACUUUUACUAUGACACUGCUGUUCCCCACACAACACAAGUAUCAAAUGAAAAGUUUCUUGAAUUUAGAUCUUUACCUUCUACAGUUGGCAUUUUGUACCGAAGUCUUACUUAUAGCUGGCAGUUACAAAUGAAAAGGACCAUAUAUGGAGAGAAUGUUAAUUUAACCAUAACCUUAU